rnacentral:rRNA from 1 species
UCUAAUGGACAAAUUAAUAUAAAAACUCUAAAGUUAAACGUGCUCGGGCGAGAGUAGUACUAUAACGGGUGACCUCCUGGGAAGUUAGGGUGUAUAUUAUGC